rnacentral:rRNA from 1 species
GACGUAGGGCGCGAGCGUUAUCCGGAUUUACUGGGUUUAAAGGGUGCGCAGGCGGAUAUGUAAGUCAGUGGUGAAAUCUCUAGGCUUAACCUGGAAAUUGCCGUUGAUACUAUAUAUCUUGAAUGCUGUGGAGGUAAGCGGAAUAUGUCAUGUAGCGGUGAAAUGCUUAGAUAUGACAUAGAACACCUAUUGCGAAGGCAGCUUACUACGCAGAUAUUGACGCUCAUGCACGAAAGCGUGGGGAUCAAACAGG